rnacentral:rRNA from 1 species
ACACCGGCAGCUCUAGUGGUAGCUGUUUUUAUUGGGCCUAAAGCGUGCGUAGCCGGUUUGGUAAGUCACUGGUGAAAUCAUGUAGCUUACCUCUGGGAAUUGCUGGUGAUACCGUUGAACUUGUGGUCGGGAGCGGUUAGCGGUACUCCCAGGGUAGGGGUGAAAUUCUGUAAUCCUGGGAGGCCCACCUGUGGCGAAGGCGGCGAACUGGAACGAACCUGACGGUGAGGGACGAAAGCUAGGGGCGCGAACCGGAUUAGAUACCCGGGUAGUCCUAGCCGUAAACGAUGCGGACUUGGUGUUGGGAUGGCUUUGAGCCGCUCCGGUGCCGAAGGGAAGCUGUUAAGUCCGCCGCCUGGGAAGUACGGUCGCAAGACUGAAACUCAAAUGAAUUGGCGGGG